UUUGUUUACAAUUGGACUGGUUUGUUUACAAUUGGACAGGUUUGUUUACAAUUUGUCUGGAUUGCAAUCAUGCAAUGGUGUAGUGUUUGGUGUUAAAUAUUUUGUGACAAGGGAGAAAUCGAGUAAGUGAGAAUCCAAGACAUGAGCUCAUCGCGUGUUGGCCAACAUUGGAACCUGGCAGGCACGGAAACAUGGAGACAUGUCCUUCCAUUUGGCAACAGGUGCUCUCGGGAUAUGGCUUUUUCUGGGAGUACUUAUGUAUCAAGGGUUUCACGUCGUCCCCGGACAGCCAGUUGUGUGUCGGUGUACCAGAGGAUGCAGAACAUGUGACGUGGCCUCCCGGUAGUGUGUCGCUUGUAUUACGAGGAAAACGUUAAGGAAGGCUGACAUCUGGCAGAAAGGGAGAUGUCCGCUAGAAUGAGUAGUAAACGAAGUUUGAACGAACGAACAGUUGGAAAAAUAAAUGAACUUAACAAAAAAUAUAAUUAAAUGGUGAGAGGUGCUACCAAGCAGGGGAAAGAGAGGCUCAUUAUGAGCAAACAACAAUCCCUUUCCAAGAUCCUCAUCAAUGAUUCCGACCCGCAAGUGGAACGGUUGUGCUAGAUCGGAAUCGGAAACUGUUGGAUCCCAGUUACCACAGGGAUAAUGGAAACCAUAGCAACCAUGCGGUAUAAAAGGAGCCGAUAGCUCAUCACCGAUUUACUCUUAAGUUGACUUCCAAAUACAAAACUUAAACUAGAACCUGUGUGCAAUAGUCCGAGUAGUUCGGACAUAUCAGAAACAAAUCCGACCCGAGGAAAUUGACCCGUACGACUCCGGGAUGCUUCGGAUUGCUCCGACCCGGUGAGUUCCAGUUGCCCCGCCUUUCACUAGUGUGUGUAAGGAAGAACGUGCGUGAGUUGUCGGAUCGCUGACCAAGGAGUAGGAGAAGGAGGUAAAAAUGAGUUAAUGUUUAACGAGCCCGUUGUAACAAUAAUAAUUAGAAAAUAAACUUCAAAUAUAUUUGUGUUUUUCGGAAGCAUUUAUCAAAUACGAUUUCCCUCUAUAAGGUUGACAAAGUGUAAUUUUCAUAACGUUUGUCACAACAAUUUACGCAAACACAAAAUAUUAUCUAAAUAAACACUAUGUACAAAACAUGUUGAUACUCUUACUGUACGGGCCGCACACCAGCCACACCGUGCACCCCUACCGAGAGCACCUA